AUUGAACGCUGGCGGAAUGCUUUACACAUGCAAGUCGAACGGCAGCACGGACUUCGGUCUGGUGGCGAGUGGCGAACGAGUGAGUAACAUAUCGGAACGUAUCCAAUAAUGGGGGAUAACUAGCCGAAAGGUUAGCUAAUACCGCAUACGCCCUACGGGGGAAAGCAGGGGAUCUUCGGACCUUGCGUUAAUGGAGCGGCCGAUAUCUGAUUAGCUAGUUGGUGAGGUAAAGGCUCACCAAGUCGACGAUCUGUAGCGGGUCUGAGAGGAUGAUCCCCCACACUGGAACUGAGACACGGUCCAGACUCCUACGGGAGGCAGCAGUGGGGAAUUUUGGACAAUGGGGGCAACCCUGAUCCAGCCAUGCCGCGUGAGUGAAGAAGGCCUUCGGGUUGUAAAGCUCCUUCGGCCGGGAAGAAAUCGCACGGGCUAAUACCCUGUGUGGAUGACGGUACCGGAAUAAGAAGCACCGGCUAACUACGUGCCAGCCGCCGCGGUAAUAC
rnacentral:rRNA from 1 species